rnacentral:rRNA from 1 species
CGUGUAGGCGGGUCUUUAAGUCAGGGGUGAAAUGCCAAGGCUCAACCUUGGAACUGCCUUUGAUACUGGAGAUCUUGAGUCCGGGAGAGGUGAGUGGAACUGCGAGUGUAGAGGUGAAAUUCGUAGAUAUUCGCAAGAACACCAGUGGCGAAGGCGGCUCACUGGCCCGGAACUGACGCGGAGACGCGAAAGCGUGGGGAGCAAACAGGAUUAGAUACCCUGGUAGUCCACGCUGUAAACGAUGGAUGCUAGCCGUUGGGGAGCUUGCUCUUCAGUGGCGCAGCUAACGCUUUAAGCAUCCCGCCUGGGGAGUACGGUCGCAAGAUUAAA